rnacentral:lncRNA from 1 species
UGGUCUGUGUUAAGAAGCUCUGCUCAUCUUUUUUGUUAUGCAGCUACCUCACAUGUGAUGAAAUCAUGUGCUAUCUAGCUUUAUUUUAUGUAAUGGGUUCGCUUUUGAAACCAAAAUAUCGUAAUGGUUUCUGUUAAUGGUGUUAGAACACCCGUUCUUAGAGAUAUGGCGCUAUGAAAAUCAUUAGGAUUCAAUGUUUGUGUAAUGGUUCAUUUUCGCAUCACCAUCGCUAUGUUGUUUUUGUUUAACACUCUAUUGGGGCGGCUGCUGGAACGCGAAUUCUCGGUGUCGGAUGCCCUCUUUUCAUUUAUUCAUAUUAAUGUUGCUGCUAGUUUGUGCCAUUUUUUAUCUGCCAUGCAGGGGUGGAGUUUUUUUUAUGAAUGCUUAGAUGAAAUCUAGUUACGCAAGUUUGGCAAGAGAAGCUACGACCCAAACAAUAUCGAUCAGGUACACUUCUUUUUUGGCUUGAUGUGUUAUAUUUUUUUUCUAUGCAUUUUUGUAUCAUUUUGUCCAGCACUAUGCCCUAGAUGUUGAAUCUAACUCUUUUUGUGUCCUUACUUAUUGUCUUGUUACUAAGCUGUGGCUCCUAGGCGUAAUGAACUAAAAUCUGGCCCCUUUGCAUGUAUCUCAGUUGCAGUAGUUUACAAUGUGCAAUCCGUUUUGAUAUGAGUUGCAACUGCGUACAUGCAACCUUGGAAUUGCACUAGGGUAAUUUCUGAAGUAGUGCAUGUUGAUUUCGGGUCUUUUCUGCAUGAGGUUCCCCCUUCUUGAAUUUUGCAUUGCAAUCGCAUCUAACUUAAUUUCCGCAAUCUGUUUUUAUAGAGUAGAAGCCAUUUUUGGCAACCGCCACCUUAUUGAAUUGCAAGGAAUCCAUUUGUCCCUUAAUUUUAAUUUUCUGACUCACCCCUGAUAUUUUUUGUCACAACA